rnacentral:rRNA from 1 species
CGUGUAGGCGGUCGGUUAAGUCUGAUGUGAAAGCCCGGGGCUUAACCUCGGAAGGGCGUUGGAAACUGGCCGACUUGAGUUCGGGAGAGGGAAGCGGAAUUCCGGGUGUAGAGGUGAAAUUCGUAGAUAUCCGGAGGAACACCGGUGGCGAAGGCGGCUUCCUGGACCGAAACUGACGCUGAGACGCGAAAGCGUGGGGAGCAAACAGGAUUAGAUACCCUGGUAGUCCACGCUGUAAACGAUGGGCACUAGGUGUGGGGGGUUUUUAAUCCCUCCGUGCCGCAGCUAACGCAUUAAGUGCCCCGCCUGGGGAGUACGGCCGCAAGGUUAA